CAAAUGUUUAUUACGACGCGUUUGGAGUAUUGCCGUCUUUGUGUAAUCAAAAUAGCUACGAAAUUUGGCCAAAAUUAAAGUUAAAUCUCCUUCUCAGUCCAUCCCUCGCUCUUAUCUUUCUCUCUCCAUCGAAAGCUUCGAGAAAUCUCAAACCAUUAGCUCCUCUGCAAAAAUCAAGUCACUCUCUGUCUCCGAGAUCACACCCCCUCAGCUCUCCAACCUCUCAAUUGUCAAAUCCGCCUCCACCUUCUCCUUCGCCUCCGCCUUCGCUAGUGAGCCAUCGGAGGCGGAGCUCCAUAAGUUCGGUGUCUCCGACGAUAUCAGAGCCUUUGUCAAGGGACUCACUUCCGAAUUUUUUGAUUCGGUUCUUCAAAUGCGCACCGUUUCGAUCAAAUAGUCGACUCGCUAAUCCUUGAUGCUCUGCACUUCGCUCCUCGCAGCUCAUCGAUGGCGUAAGAUUUGAUUAAAUUUGCGAUCACCAGGGAUAUUAAAACAGUGAUCAAGAGUUUGUCUGUGAUGGCAAAGACGACUCUUCCAGUGGUGAGGAAAACACAGAGACCCAGCAAAGCUUCGUAGAGAGGAAGCAUCAGUUUCCUGGAAUGCUGAAUGCCAAUUUACUCUGGCCAGGGACAUUUGCAUUUGCAGAAUGGUUAAUUCAAAACAGGCCAUUGAUUGAGGGACAGCAUUGUAUUGAACUGGGCAGUUCGACUGAUUUCUCAGGAAAACCUUUGCAAAGAUGUAUGCAAUGUCUUCUCAUGAACCCUAGAUACAGAGUGUAACAUUACUGUUUUCUGUUUUCUACUUCUUUGUCUGUGAUGGCGUAGAUGGCCCCUGUGUUCGCAAAUUCAAUCAAGUGGGGUUGACAAUUCGGGCAAGACUAGGAUUGUGCUCACGAUUAAUGGGGAGGACACCAGCCUUGUCACUCCCACUCUCGGCUUCAACAUCAACACCCUCACUUACCAAAACUCCAACUUCAAUGGGGAAACAAGAGGCAUCCGUAAGUGUUGAAUUUAUCAUGAAGAUCCAAGUAAAGUUGUUCUUUUAAGACACAAGAUGUAUUUGAAGUGGAAUGUGGCAAUGUGCAGUGAACGGUUGAGGCAAUCCACCCCAAUGGCUUUACACUACCAGUUUAGGUUCAUUUUAUUUGUAUUGGUUUUGCUAUAAGCUUCAUUUGUUAUUGCAUCCACAACAUUUGUUUGUAUACUGCUCAACUUUUUAUACAAGUGAAUGUUCUCUUAUGAAAUUGCAACAAGUAAAGAAUUAGACAGAUUUGUUA